rfam:Callithrix jacchus chromosome 6, whole genome shotgun sequence
GCUGGGCAUGGUGGCUCAUGCCUGUAAUUCCAGCAUGUUGGGAGGCUGAGGCAGGUGGAUCAUUUGAGGUCAGGAGUUUGUGACCAGCCUGACCAACAUAGUGAAACCCUGUCUCUA